rnacentral:lncRNA from 1 species
AGUGCUUUGACGACUGCCUCACUAAAGGAAGCUAAAAGCUGUGCCGAUGCCUCCCAGACGAGCCUCGUUGGAAGCACAGAACCUUCACGACUCGGAGCCGCUGACACGGUGACAAAGGGAGCCCUGCUCAGGAGAAAGAGUAAAUGAGAAGAAGUAGCACUUUUUCAGGUGUCAGGCUGGAGGAAGCCACUUGAAGAUGAGUCUACGUCUGCCUUAGGAUUGCCUGGCAGCCUGCGCCAUUCCGUGUUAUAUCUACUUAUUUGCUCCCUGUAUUCAAUUAUUAUUUUUUUUACUUAAUUCUCUCAUACUGACCCUGAGAGUGACCAUAUUUUUAACCAAUUUGGUCUUCAGCCUCAAAACUUAGCUCUUUCCUUUUGGGGUCCCUGAAUCCUACCAUGUGUCAUGGUGGCUGUGAAGAUGUUUGCCAAGCCUGCUGAGAAGGCUCAUCUGUGGCAUCUGAGAGCACAGAUUUCAACUCUGGACCCCUGUAAACUGCCUUUGGAAUUAUGGACACCCAGCACUGUUUUGAAAUAUCAGUGGACAUCCAGUUUUUAAAAGCCCUCAGAGCUUUGGGAGGCACCCCUUUAUCUCUCUGGCAUGUCAGAGAACCGAUUCAACCCUUCUCAUCUCCUCUUCCUUCCCUCUCUUGGGCAAUCAGGAUGCAGCAGCAACUCACUGUGCAUGUUUUUACAGCUCUUCUCCAGUAAUGCUGCCAUUUCCACUGCAGACCACAGGAUAAAAAGGACCACUUCACAGUGGCCCAGGAUACCCUUUUAAGUAGGAGAGAGGAUUAUUGGCAACUGGCACCACCCCCACGUCUGGAGGAGGGACGUUUCUAGGAUGACCCCCAGAGUGGAGAAAUAGCCGAGAUAACAAAAUGUAUCUACCCUCUCCAAGAGUGUAAACUAACCUGGUGGCUGGAAAAAACAAACAAACAAACAAAGAUCUGUGAAGAAAGAUCUGACUUUUCAACUGGCGCAUACCGUUCCUUGAAACAGAGAGUGUGAAAGUUGUUUAGAUUUGCAAUGAACCACCUCUCUACCUCCACCUCCCUGAGCUCUGAGGCAAAUGGAUUUCCCUAUUAUAAACUAGGAAUGAGUGUCUGAAAGAAGCCUUUUCUGAUUCCCUGCAAAAGUUCAUUCAUCAGGAGGAAGGGGAGUCAUCCCAGCCUUCACCACCUGUGGAACGCAGCAACCUCACUGUGGGAGACACCAGUAGCCUGUUCCUCCCAAGAAUGAGCCGCAGAGGGUGUUGCCCGCAGCAGGAGGGAGCCGAUUCUCAUCUGAGAACAAAGUGACUUGAUGAAUUCUACAUUUUAAAGAGCCUGGACGCAGCUGACCUUAAUGUUUAUUCAAUCAAUGCUGGGAAGGAAACUAACAUUCAAAGGUGCUUUGCUCUGCUUGCCUCCAGGACUGGGGCAGGAGAAUGCCUUGUAGAGUGUGCUUUGUGCUAUUAUGGUCAAACUGGCAUAGUCAGCCAAAAGAGAGGCGCCCACAUAGAUCCCCCAGAAGAAGUCACUGAUGUGGAGGUGGCAAAGUGUAAGAAAGACAGAACCAAUCUGGGUCAACUGGGUUAGACAGAGAUCAGCUCUGCACUCCUAAGGCCAUGGGAACCUGUUCCUGAAUCUGUGGAGCGUCGAUUUUCUGUUCUACUCUGAGUCCUACCAUAAGUAGAAGCAUCAUUAUGUGGAAAGGAAUUCCCAGCGGUUCCUAAACAUCCUUCUCCUCCUUUAACAAAUAAAGACAUAUGCAUCUUGC